rnacentral:rRNA from 1 species
CCUACGGGAGGCAGCAGUGAGGAAUAUUGGUCAAUGGGCGCAAGUCUGAACCAGCCAAGCAGCGUGAAGGAUGACUGCCCUACGGGUUGUAAACUUCUUUUAUAAAGGAAUAAAGUGAGGCACGUGUGCCUUUUUGUAAGUACUUUAUGAAUAAGGAUCGGCUAACUCCGUGCCAGCAGCCGCGGUAAUACGGAGGAUCCGAGCGUUAUCCGGAUUUAUUGGGUUUAAAGGGAGCGUAGAUGGGUUGUUAAGUCAGUUGUGAAAUUUUGCGGCUCAACCGUAAAAUUGCAAUUGAUACUGGCAGUCGUGAGGACAGAUGAGGUAGGCGGAAUGCGUGGUGUAGCGGUGAAAUGCUUAGAGAUCACGAAGAACACCGAUUGCGAAGGCAGCAUACCGGCGUUCAACUGACGCUCAUGCACGAAAGUGUGGGGAGCGAACAGGAUUAGAUACCCUAGUAGUC